rfam:Microgenomates (Shapirobacteria) bacterium GW2011_GWE2_38_30 TS90_C0001, whole genome shotgun sequence.
AGUACUAAGAGUUUGAUCGUGGCUCAGGGUGAACGCUGGCGAUGUGCCUAAGACAUGCAAGUCGAACGAGAUUUGUGUGUAGCACGAGACGUUUCAAUCCAUUUCUCCAUCAAUUAUUUUUCCUUAAGUAUUUUUAUUUUGAAUCUGAAAAUUGUAAUUUGUUUGGAUUUUUGUAAUUUGGUCUUUGGAAUUUCUCGUGCUAUACACGAGUUUAGUGGCAAACGGGUGAGUAUAAGAUACGAACGUACUCCAAAGCGGAGCAUAGUCCACCGAAAGGUGGGGUAAUUCUCCAUAGUCCCUCCGGGGUAAAGAUGCAAAUCACUUUGGAAGCGGCGUAUCUACUACCAGCUAGUUGGUGAGGUAAUGGCUCACCAAGGCUAUGACGGUUAACGGCUCUUAGCGGAGAGUCCGUCACAAUGGGACUGAGACACGGCCCAUACACCUACGGGUGGCAGCAGUUAGGAAUUUUGCGCAAUGGACGAAAGUCUGACGCAGCGACAUCGCGUGAAGGAUGAAGGCCCUCGGGUUGUAAACUUCUUUUAUUUUUCCAUGAAGGAAAUUUGAAUAAGGAACUACUAACUACGUGCCAGCAGUCGCGGUAAUACGUAGGUUCCGAGCGUUACCCGGUUUUACUGGGCGUAAAGAGUCUGUAGGUGGUUUUCUAAGUCUUGUUUCAAAGACUCCGGCUCAACCGGAGAAAGGGGCAGGAUACUGGAAGACUAGAGUUGUAUCGGAGUGACUGGAAUUUGUAGUGUAGGGGUAAAAUCCGUGGAUACUACAAAGAACACCAAGAGCGAAGGCGGGUCACUAGAUACCAACUGACACUCAGAGACGAAAGCUAGGGUAGCAAAUCAGAUUAGAGACCUGAGUAGUCCUAGCCGUAAACGUUGCCUGUUAGUUCUGUGGAUUUAUCUGCGGGAUGUAAGCUAACGCGUUAAACAGGCCGCCUGGGGAGUAUAGCCGCAAGGCCGAAACUCAAACGAAUUGGCGGGGAGGCGCACAACCAGUGGAGCAUGUGGUUCAAUUCGAUACGAAGCGAUGAACCUUACCUGGGUUUGAAAUGUACCUGCACGGCUCAGAGAUGAGUCAGCCUUCGAGGGUGGUACACAGCUGUUGCAUGGCUGUCGUCAGCUCGUGACGUGAGUUGUUCUCUUAAGUGAGGUAACGAGCGCAACCCCCAUCGUAUGUUAUCGUGUCAUACGAGACUGCCCAGCAUUAUUUUGUUGGGAGGAAGGAGGGGACGACGUCAAGUCAGCAUGAUGCUUAUAUCCAGGGCUACACACAUCCUACAAUGGGUGGUACAGAGGGUCGCAAUACCGCGAGGUGGAGCCAAUCCUUAAAACCUCUCUCAGUUGGGAUUGCAGGCUGAAACUCGCCUGCAUGAACUUGGAAUUGGUAGUAAUCGCAAAUCAGCAGAUUGCGGUGAAUACGUUCUCGCCUCUUGCACACACUGCCCGUCAAAUCAGCAAAGUUGAGGGCACCUGAAGCUUUACAGAGUUUUGUAGAACCAAGGUGAAUUCAGCGAUGAGGGUUAAGUCGUAACAAGGUAUCCGUACUGGAAGGUGCGGAUGGAUCACCUCCUUU